UGUUCAAGAAUUCUUCAAGACUCCUUUUUUUAUCCUCUCCAGUGGUUUUCAACAGAUAUACAAAGAUCUGUAUGGAAAUAAAAAUCAGCAAGAGUUCUUGCAGUGCUUCUGAUUUAUGAAUUUAUGCAGAACUUGAUAUUGCUAUGCUUAAGCUCCUGAAAUCUUAACCUUGUUUCCUUUUUUUUUAUUCUUAUUUUCAAUUUCCUAUAUUUAUUGAUUUGAUUUUAUUUAUAUUAUUAUAUGC
rnacentral:misc_RNA from 1 species